rnacentral:tRNA from 1 species
GGGAUGGAGCAGUCUGGUAGCUCGUCGGGCUCAUAACCCGAAGGUCGUUGGUUCAAAUCCAGCUCCCGCA